AACGAACGCUGGCGGCAGGCUUAACACAUGCAAGUCGAACGCCCCGCAAGGGGAGUGGCAGACGGGUGAGUAACGCGUGGGAACAUACCCUUUCCUGCGGAAUAGCUCCGGGAAACUGGAAUUAAUACCGCAUACGCCCUACGGGGGAAAGAUUUAUCGGGGAAGGAUUGGCCCGCGUUGGAUUAGCUAGUUGGUGGGGUAAAGGCCUACCAAGGCGACGAUCCAUAGCUGGUCUGAGAGGAUGAUCAGCCACAUUGGGACUGAGACACGGCCCAAACUCCUACGGGAGGCAGCAGUGGGGAAUAUUGGACAAUGGGCGCAAGCCUGAUCCAGCCAUGCCGCGUGAGUGAUGAAGGCCUUAGGGUUGUAAAGCUCUUUCAACGAUGAAGAUAAUGACGGUAGUCGGAGAAGAAGCCCCGGCUAACUUCGUG
rnacentral:rRNA from 1 species